GACAGAGGAUGCAAGCGUUAUCCGGAAUUAUUGGGCGUAAAGCGUCUGUAGGUGGCUUUUCAAGUCCGCCGUCAAAUCCCAGGGCUCAACCCUGGACAGGCGGUGGAAACUGCCAAGCUGGAGUACGGUAGGGGCAGAGGGAAUUUCCGGUGGAGCGGUGAAAUGCGUAGAGAUCGGAAAGAACACCAACGGCGAAAGCACGCUGCUGGGCCGACACUGACACUGAGAGACGAAAGCGAGGGGAGCGAAUGGG
rnacentral:rRNA from 1 species